GAGGGUAUAGCUCAGCAGUAGAGUGCCAGCUUAGCAUGCACGAGGUCCUGGGUUCAAUUCCCAGUACCUCCG
rnacentral:tRNA from 1 species